rnacentral:rRNA from 1 species
UACGUAGGGUGCGAGCGUUGUCCGGAAUUACUGGGCGUAAAGAGCUCGUAGGUGGUUUGUCGCGUUGUCCGUGAAAACUCACAACUCAAUUGUGGGCGUGCGGGCGAUACGGGCAGACUGGAGUACUGCAGGGGAGACUGGAAUUCCUGGUGUAGCGGUGGAAUGCGCAGAUAUCAGGAGGAACACCAAUGGCGAAGGCAGGAUCUCUGGGCCGAACUGACUCU